rnacentral:rRNA from 1 species
CAGCCGCCGCGGUAAUACGGAGGGUGCAAGCGUUAAUCGGAAUUACUGGGCGUAAAGCGUGCGUAGGCGGUGAGUUAAGUCUGCUGUGAAAUCCCCGGGCUCAACCUGGGAAUGGCAGUGGAUACUGGCUCGCUAGAGUGUGUCAGAGGAUGGUGGAAUUCCCGGUGUAGCGGUGAAAUGCGUAGAGAUCGGGAGGAACAUCAGUGGCGAAGGCGGCCAUCUGGGACAACACUGACGCUGAGGCACGAAAGCGUGGGGAGCAAACAGGAUUAGAUACCCCGGUAGUCCCUGUCUCUUAUAC